CUACGUGCCAGCAGCCGCGGUAAUACGUAGGUCCCGAGCGUUGUCCGGAUUUAUUGGGCGUAAAGCGAGCGCAGGCGGUUAGAUAAGUCUGAAGUUAAAGGCUGUGGCUUAACCAUAGUACGCUUUGGAAACUGUUUAACUUGAGUGCAAGAGGGGAGAGUGGAAUUCCAUGUGUAGCGGUGAAAUGCGUAGAUAUAUGGAGGAACACCGGUGGCGAAAGCGGCUCUCUGGCUUGUAACUGACGCUGAGGCUCGAAAGCGUGGGUAGCAAACAGGAUUAGAUACCCUGGUAGUCCACGCCGUAAACGAUGAGUGCUAAGUGUUGGAGGGUUUCCGCCCUUCAGUGCUGCAGUUAACGCAUUAAGCACUCCGCCUGGGGAGUACGACCGCAAGGUUGAAACUCAAAGGAAUUGACGGGGGCCCGCACAAGCGGUGGAGCAUGUGGUUUAAUUCGAAGCAACGCGAAGAACCUUACCAGGUCUUGACAUCCCUCUGACCUCUCUAGAGAUAGAGAUUUC
rnacentral:rRNA from 1 species